AUGGCCGCUGCUGCUGCCGCCGCUCCCACCCUUGUCCGGACCCCGGGGGGAGCCCAGGGGGCCACCGGGCACCUCGACCGCCCCUACCUCCCACCCCGACCCCUACCCAGGCCUGCGCCCGCGCCCGCGCCUCACUCACCGGCCUCCCUCGAAACAGGGCGGACUCCACCCGCUGCCGCCGCCGCAGCCGCCACUACCGACCUCGUCUGGACCCGGGGGGGCGGGGCGCAGGUGGCCACCUGGCACCUCAGCCGCCCCCACCCUCACCCUCACCCCCAGCCCCAGGCCUGCACCCCGCCCCUCCCUCACCGCCCUCCACUGACAAACGGCAGACUGCGCCCGCCGCCACCGCCGCCGCCACCGCUGCCAGCGCCGCCGCCGCUCCCGCCCUGGUCCGGACCCGAGGAGACCAGGGCGCCAACCGGCACCACGGCCGCCGCCAACCCCACAACCAGGACUGCGCCCGCGCCACGCUCGCCGGCCUCCACUGACACAGGGCGUGCUCCGCCCGCCGCUGCCGCAGCCGCCACCGCCGCUCCCGCCCUUGUCCGGACCCCGGGGGCACGCAGGGCGCCAGCUGGCACCUCGGCGGCCCCCACAGCAGCCCCCACCCCCAGACCUGCGCCCGCACCUCACCCACCGACCUCUCCGAUGCAGGGCGGACUCAACCCACCGCCACCGCCGCCACCGCUCCCGCCCUUCUCCGGUCCCGGGGGAAGCGCAGGGGGCUACCCGGCACCUCGGCCGCCCCCACCCCAGAUCGGAGCCCGCGCCUCACUCACCGGCCUCCCGGGACACUGGCUGGGCUCCGCCCUCCGCUGCCAACGCCGCCACCGCCACCACCGUUGUCUGGAGCAGGCGGUCAGUGUGACGACGACCCUCCCGCCUCGGCCAGAGACGUCCACAGCGAAGCCCCUGCGGCCAGACCGAUCCCUGAGCGAGACGGGCUCUGACUGGCCUCCAGGCGGUGGCAACCACGCUGGGCCGCAUUGGGCUCCGAGUGCGCAUGCGCGGGGGCGCUCCCGUGGCCGGCCUCCCGCAUGCGCGGUGGGGGCUCCCGGGCUCAGCGCGGAGCCUUAA
rnacentral:lncRNA from 1 species